GAAUUGAAGAGUUUGAUCAUGGCUCAGAUUGAACGCUGGCGGCAGGCUUAACACAUGCAAGUCGAACGGUAGCAGGAAGAAGCUUGCUUCUUUGCUGACGAGUGGCGGACGGGUGAGUAAUGCUUGGGAAUCUGGCUUAUGGAGGGGGAUAACUACGGGAAACUGUAGCUAAUACCGCGUAGUAUCGAGAGAUGAAAGACUGGG
rnacentral:rRNA from 1 species